CAUAAUCGAUAAAGGAAUGAACAAAAAAGUAAACAUACAAAUAUCUAUUAUUGUUGUUUGGACUCAUGUGUUUGAGCAGAGUGUGUGUUUAUUGGGAAAAUUACGAGUUUGUAACGAAUGAGAAUAAAUAAAUAAAAAGGGGUGUAGAAGAGAGUAGUACGAGAUGAAUAACUAAAUAGAAAUAUUUGUGCGGAUAGUCUUUUGUGUAUAUGUACAUAUGUACAUAUGUGAGUACUUUAACAAUUUUUGUAUAGGUACAUACCGAAAAUGCUGUAAUAUUGUACGUGGUGUAUGAUGAAGAGCAGCAAUGAAAACGAUGAACACAACAGAAAAAUGUUAAAAAUACAGUAAAUACAAAAUUCUUGUCUUCUCUCUCUCUCGCUGUGAGUGUACGUGUGCAAAGAAAUGGCAAAACAAAACAAACUGGAUACAUUCAUGCCAACAAUUACGUGAAAAAAAUACGUUUUACUAGAGACCAAAAGGAAAAAAGUCUUUACUUACGUUUCACAUCUUAUAAUUGAGAGAGGCAUGUUGGAGUUGGACGAUAAUGAAUUGUUUGGUGAGCUACACUUUUAAUAAAAAUGAAAAACUUUUUUAGGAUCUUGAAAAUAGAAAAUUGAUUACAAAUUAUCUUUAAAUAUGAAAUUUUCCAAAAAUAGUACUUAAAACUCGGGAAUUCACUUUAAAAUGUUGCCGUAGAUUACUUGUUCAAGUCGUCUAUUGCCGUCUUAAAACAAUUAGCAUAAUUUCAAUUUGUAUUCCACUUGUGUAAACGUUCAGUAACAUCAUUGGUAUUCAAGUGACGAUUUUGUUCAUGUAUUGAUGCUUUUUGAUAUUUCAU